rnacentral:rRNA from 1 species
CAGUAGCCACGGGAAUACGAAGGGGGCUAGCGUUGCUCGGAAUCACUGGGCGUAAAGGGUGCGUAGGCGGGUCUUUAAGUCAGGGGUGAAAUCCUGGAGCUCAACUCCAGAACUGCCUUUGAUACUGAAGAUCUUGAGUAUGGGAGAGGUGAGUGGAACUGUGAGUGUAGAAGUGAAAUUUGUAGAUAUUCGCAAGAACACCAGUGGCGAAGGCGGCUCACUGGCCCAUAACUGACGCUGAGGCACGAAAGCGUGGGGAGCAAACAGGAUUAGAUACCCCUGUAGUCCCUGUCUCUUAUAU